CGCACGGGUGAGUAACACGUAUGCAACCUGCCUGCCACAGCCGGAUAAUCGGGAGAAAUUCCGUCUAAUACGGCAUUAAUGCAUCGACGGGACAUCCUGUUGGUGCCAAAGGUUGAUUCCGGUGGCGGAUGGGCAUGCGUCGCAUUAGUUAGUUGGCGGUGUAACGGACCACCAAGACGACGAUGCGUAGGGGUUCUGAGAGGAAGGUCCCCCACACUGGUACUGAGACACGGACCAGACUCCUACGGAAGGCAGCAG
rnacentral:rRNA from 1 species